UACGUAGGGUGCAAGCGUUGUCCGGAAUUAUUGGGCGUAAAGAGCUCGCAGGCGGUCUGUCGCGUCGGCUGUGAAAACUCGGGGCUCAACCCCGAGCCUGCAGCCGAUACGGGCAGACUAGAGUUCGGUAGGGGAGACUGGAAUUCCUGGUGUAGAGGUGAAAUUCGUAGAUAUCGGGAGGAACACCAGUGGCGAAGGCGGCGACCUGGGCCAAUAUUGACGCUGAGGUGCGAAAGCGUGGGGAGCAAACAGG
rnacentral:rRNA from 1 species